CAGCAGCUCGAGUGGUGGUCGUUUUUAUUGGGCCUAAAGCGUCCGUAGCCGGUUCGGUAAAUCUCUGGGUAAAUCGAUAAGCUUAACUUAUCGACUUCCGGAGAGACUGCCGAACUUGGAACCGGGAGAGGUCGGAGGUACUUUAGGGGUAGGGGUGAAAUCCUGUAAUCCUUAGAGGACCACCAGUGGCGAAGGCGUCCGACUAGAACGGGUUCGACGGUCAGGGACGAAGCCGUGGGUCGCAAACCGGAUUAGAUACCCGCGUAGUCC
rnacentral:rRNA from 1 species